GAUGAACGCUGGCGGCGUGCCUAAUACAUGCAAGUCGAGCGAACGGACGAGAAGCUUGCUUCUCUGAUGUUAGCGGCGGACGGGUGAGUAACACGUGGAUAACCUACCUAUAAGACUGGGAUACUUCGGGAAACCGGAGCUAAUACCGGAUAAUAUUUUGAACCGCAUGGUUCAAAAGUGAAAGACGGUCUUGCUGUCACUUAUAGAUGGAUCCGCGCUGCUUUAGCUAGUUGGUAAGGUAACGGCUUACCAAGGCAACGAUGCAUAGCCGACCUGAGAGGGUGAUCGGCCACACUGGAACUGAGACACGGUCCAGACUCCUACGGGAGGCAGCAGUAGGGAAUCUUCCGCAAUGGGCGAAAGCCUGACGGAGCAACGCCGCGUGAGUGAUGAAGGUCUUCGGAUCGUAAAACUCUGUUAUUAGGGAAGAACAUAUGUGUAAGUAACUGUGCACAUCUUGACGGUACCUAAUCAGAAAGCCACGGCUAACUACGUG
rnacentral:rRNA from 1 species